rnacentral:rRNA from 1 species
GAUGAACGCUAGCGACAGGCUUAACACAUGCAAGUCGAGGGGCAGCGGGGUGUGGCAACACACUGCCGGCGACCGGCGCACGGGUGAGUAACGCGUAUGCAACUUGCCUAUCAGAGGGGGAUAACCCGGCGAAAGUCGGACUAAUACCGCAUAAAACAGGGGUCCCGCAUGGGGAUAUUUGUUAAAGAUUCAUCGCUGAUAGAUAGGCAUGCGUUCCAUUAGGCAGUUGGCGGGGUAACGGCCCACCAAACCGACGAUGGAUAGGGGUUCUGAGAGGAAGGGCCCCCACAGUGGUACUGAGACACGGACCAAACUCCUACGGGAGGCAGCAGUGAGGAAUAUUGGUCAAUGGCCGGGAGGCUGAACCAGCCAAGUCGCGUGAAGGAUGAAGGUCCUAUGGAUUGUAAACUUCUUUUGUGCGGGAAUAAAGUCGGGGAUGCGUCCCCGUUUGCAUGUACCGUACGAAUAAGCAUCGGCUAACCCCGUGCCAGCAGCCGCAGUAA